GACGAACGCUGGCGGCAUGCCUAAUACAUGCAAGUCGAGCGAACAUUUUAAGAAGCUUGCUUCUUAAAAUGUUAGCGGCGGAUGGGUGAGUAACACGUGGGCAACCUGCCCUGCAGAUGGGGAUAACUCCGGGAAACCGGGGCUAAUACCGAAUAAUCAGUUUGUUCGCAUGAACAAACUCUGAAAGACGGCUUCGGCUGUCACUGCAGGAUGGGCCCGCGGCGCAUUAGCUAGUUGGUGGGAUAACGGCCUACCAAGGCGACGAUGCGUAGCCGACCUGAGAGGGUGAUCGGCCACACUGGGACUGAGACACGGCCCAGACUCCUACGGGAGGCAGCAGUAGGGAAUCUUCCACAAUGGACGAAAGUCUGAUGGAGCAAUGCCGCGUGAGUGAAGAAGGUUUUCGGAUCGUAAAACUCUGUUGUGAGGGAAGAACAAGUACGGGAGUAACUGUCCGUACCUUGACGGUACCUCAUUAGAAAGCCACGGCUAACUACGUGC
rnacentral:rRNA from 1 species